rnacentral:rRNA from 1 species
GAUAAGCGCUGGAAACGGCGUCUAAUACUGGAUAUGAGCCGCUCUCGCAUGGGGGUGGUUGGAAAGUUUUUCGGUUGGGGAUGGGCUCGCGGCCUAUCAGCUUGUUGGUGGGGUGAUGGCCUACCAAGGCGACGACGGGUAGCCGGCCUGAGAGGGCGACCGGCCACACUGGGACUGAGACACGGCCCAGACUCCUACGGGAGGCAGCAGUGGGGAAUAUUGCACAAUGGGCGAAAGCCUGAUGCAGCGACGCCGCGUGAGGGAUGACGGCCUUCGGGUUGUAAACCUCUUUCAGCAGGGAAGAAGCGCAAGUGACGGUACCUGCAGAAGAAGCGCCGGCUAACUACGUGCCAGCAGCCGCGGUAAUACGUAGGGCGCAAGCGUUGUCCGGAAUUAUUGGGCGUAAAGAGCUCGUAGGCGGUUUGUCGCGUCUGGUGUGAAAACUCGAGGCUCAACCUCGAGCUUGCAUCGGGUACGGGCAGACUAGAGUGCGGUAGGGGAGACUGGAAUUCCUGGUGUAGCGGUGGAAUGCGCAGAUAUCAGGAGGAACACCGAUGGCGAAGGCAGGUCUCUGGGCCGCAACUGACGCUGAGGAGCGAAAGCAUGGGGAGCGAACAGGAUUAGAUACCCUGGUAGUCCAUGCCGUAAACGUUGGGCACUAGGUGUGG